rnacentral:rRNA from 1 species
UACGGAGGAUGCGAGCGUUAUCCGGAUUUAUUGGGUUUAAAGGGUGCGCAGGCGGAUAUAUAAGUCAGUGGUGAAAGACCUGGGCUCAACCGAGGUACUGCCGUUGAUACUGUAUAUCUUGAGUGUAGUGGGCGUUGGCGGAAUGUGUCAUGUAGCGGUGAAAUGCAUAGAGAUGACACAGAACACCGAUAGCGAAGGCAGCCGACGAUACUUACACUGACGCUCAUGCACGAGAGCGUGGGGAUCAAACAGG